ACUCCUACGGGAGGCAGCAGUGGGGAAUAUUGGACAAUGGGCGAAAGCCUGAUCCAGCAAUSCCGCGUGUGUGAAGAAGGCCUGCGGGUUGUAAAGCACUUUCGGUUGGGAAGAAAAGCUCAGGGUUAAUAACCUUGGGACUUGACACUACCUUCAGAAGAAGCACCGGCUAACUCCGUGCCAGCAGCCGCGGUAAUMCGGAGGGUGCGAGCGUUAAUCGGAAUUACUGGGCGUWAAGCGCGCGUAGGUGGCUAGAUAAGUCGGAUGUGAAAGCCCCGGGCUUAACCUGGGAACUGCAUUCGAUACUGUCUGACUAGAGUAUGGUAGAGGAAAGCGGAAUUCCCGGUGUAGCGGUGAAAUGCGUAGAUAUCGGGAGGAACAUCAGUGGCGAAGGCGGCUUUCUGGACCAAUACUGACGCUGAGGCGSGAAAGCGUGGGUAGCAAACAGGAUUAGAUACCCUGGUAGUCCACGCCCUAAACGAUGUCAACUAGCCGUUGGGUUCGUAAAUGAGCUUAGUGGCSCAGCUAACGCGAUAAGUUGACCGCCUGGGGAGUACGGCCGCAAGGUUAAAACUCAAAUGAAUUGACGG
rnacentral:rRNA from 1 species